rnacentral:lncRNA from 1 species
ACCAAUGACACAAAGCUGGGGAUGAUACCUUUCUGUUGCCGAAAUGGGACGAUCUUGCCACCUGCCAUGGACCCAAGCAAGUCUGCUUCAGCAUUCCAGAUAAACGUCUUUAAAAUGCCUCCGGAUCUCAAUCGCUCCUCGUUCACUCCUCCUCAGAAUUGGAAGAUUGAAGGCAGACUGAAUCCAGAUUAUAAAUGUGGACCUCCAGUCCGUGUAAGCCCCAGCCAGUUUCCUGAUCCUAGUGGAUUGCUACCCGAUACAGCAGCAUUUGCAAGCUGGCAAGUUGUAUGCAACAUCACCCAACCAAAAGGAGCAAGCCCUAGAUGCUGUGUAUCUUUCUCUGCUUUCUACAAUGAAUCUAUCAUUCCUUG